rnacentral:rRNA from 1 species
CGACGGGCUCAUAUUGAACCUAGUGAUGUAUGGGUUAGUGGCGGACGGGUGAGUAACGCGUGGAGAACCUGCCGUAUACUGGGGGAUAACACUUAGAAAUAGGUGCUAAUACCGCAUAAGCGCACAGCUUCGCAUGAAGCAGUGUGAAAAACUCCGGUGGUAUACGAUGGAUCCGCGUCUGAUUAGCUGGUUGGCGGGGUAACAGCCCACCAAGGCGACGAUCAGUAGCCGGCCUGAGAGGGUGAACGGCCACAUUGGGACUGAGACACGGCCCAAACUCCUACGGGAGGCAGCAGUGGGGAAUAUUGCACAAUGGGGGAAACCCUGAUGCAGCGACGCCGCGUGAGUGAAGAAGUAUUUCGGUAUGUAAAGCUCUAUCAGCAGGGAAGAAAUACUGACCUUACGGUCAGCAGACGGUACCUGACUAAGAAGCCCCGGCUAACUACGUGCCAGCAGCCGCGGUAAUACGUAGGGGGCAAGCGUUAUCCGGAUUUACUGGGUGUAAAGGGAGCGUAGACGGCAGCGCAAGUCUGAAGUGAAAUCCCAUGGCUUAACCAUGGAACUGCUUUGGAAACUGUGCAGCUGGAGUGCAGGAGAGGUAAGCGGAAUUCCUAGUGUAGCGGUGAAAUGCGUAGAUAUUAGGAGGAACACCAGUGGCGAAGGCGGCUUACUGGACUGUAACUGACGUUGAGGCUCGAAAGCGUGGGGAGCAAACAGGAUUAGAUACCCUGGUAGUCCACGCCGUAAACGAUGAUUACUAGGUGUUGGGGGGAC